GACAACACUUGAAAAGGAAGUAGUAAAAAGACUGAAGUUUCAGAGAGCGCAUGGCUGGUGAGAAUGUGCACGGAUGCUUUUGAACUCGCCUUUGAGUUGCCCUUGCUGAAUACCCGAGUAAGCAAGCGGCGGUGACGGCCGUUACAACGUUCGAGGCCUUUUCACUAAGGUAAAAUUAGGUGGUACCGCGUAGAUUACGUCCUAUAA
rnacentral:ncRNA from 1 species